AUAAGAUCCGUAGUCGAAAGGGAAACAGCCCAGACCACCAGUUAAGGUCCCCAAAUAUAUGUUAAGUGGAAAAGGAUGUGGGGUUGCUUAGACAACCAGGAUGUUGGCUUAGAAGCAGCCACCAUUGAAAGAGUGCGUAAUAGCUCACUGGUCGAGUGACCCCGCGCCGAAAAUGUACCGGGGCUAAACAUAUUACCGAAACUGUGGAUGAACCUCUUUAGAGGUUCGUGGUAGGAGAGCGUUCUAAGGGCGGUGAAGUCAGACCGGAAGGACUGGUGGAGCGCUUAGAAGUGAGAAUGCCGGUAUGAGUAGCGAAAGAAGGGUGAGAAUCCCUUCCACCGAAUAUCUAAGGUUUCCUGAGGAAGGCUCGUCCGCUCAGGGUUAGUCGGGACCUAAGCCGAGGCCGAUAGGCGUAGGCGAUGGACAACAGGUAGAGAUUCCUGUACCAGUGCUAAUUGUUUAACCGAUGGGGUGACACAGAAGGAUAGGGAAUCGCACGAAUGGAAAUGUGCGUCCAAGCAGUGAGUGUGAGAAGUAGGCAAAUCCGCUUCUCGCGAAGCAUGAGCUGUGAUGGGGAAGGAAAUUAAGUACGGAAGUUCCUGAUUUCACGCUGUCAAGAAAAGCCUCUAGGAAGAGUAGUACUGCCCGUACCGCAAACCGACACAGGUAGAUGAGGAGAGAAUCCUAAGGUGAGCGAGAGAACUCUCGUUAAGGAACUCGGCAAAAUGACCCCGUAACUUCGGGAGAAGGGGUGCUCUAUUAGGGUGCAAGCCCGAGAGAGCCGCAGUGAAUAGGCCCAGGCGACUGUUUAGCAAAAACACAGGUCUCUGCAAAACCGUAAGGUGACGUAUAGGGGCUGACGCCUGCCCGGUGCUGGAAGGUUAAGAGGAGUGCUUAGCUUCGGCGAAGGUACGAAUUGAAGCCCCAGUAAACGGCGGCCGUAACUAUAACGGUCCUAAGGUAGCGAAAUUCCUUGUCGGGUAAGUUCCGACCCGCACGAAAGGCGCAACGAUCUGGGCACUGUCUCAACGAGAGACUCGGUGAAAUUAUAGUACCUGUGAAGAUGCAGGUUACCCGCGACAGGACGGAAAGACCCCGUGGAGCUUUACUGCAACCUGAUAUGGAAUGUUUGUACCGCUUGUACAGGAUAGGUAGGAGCCGAAGAGACGUGUGCGCUAGCAUACGAGGAGGCAAUGGUGGGAUACUACCCUGGCUGUAUGACCAUUCUAACCCGCCACGCUUAGCGCGUGGGGAGACAGUGUCAGGUGGGCAGUUUGACUGGGGCGGUCGCCUCCUAAAGAGUAACGGAGGCGCCCAAAGGUUCCCUCAGAAUGGAUGGAAAUCAUUCGCAGAGUGUAAAGGCACAAGGGAGCUUGACUGCGAGACUGACAAGUCGAGCAGGGACGAAAGUCGGGCUUAGUGAUCCGGUGGUUCCGCAUGGAAGGGCCAUCGCUCAACGGAUAAAAGCUACCCCGGGGAUAACAGGCUUAUCUCCCCCAAGAGUCCACAUCGACGGGGAGGUUUGGCACCUCGAUGUCGGCUCGUCGCAUCCUGGGGCU
rnacentral:rRNA from 1 species